rnacentral:rRNA from 1 species
AUUGAACGCUGGCGGCAGGCCUAACACAUGAAAGUCGAACGAGUGGCGGACGGGUGAGUAAGGUCUGGGAAACUGCCUGAUGGAGGGGGAUAACUACUGGAAACGGUAGCUAAUACCGCAUAACAUCAGAUGUGCCCAGAUGGGAUUAGCUUGGUGGUGGGGUAACGGCUCACCAAGGCGACGAUCCCUAGCUGGUCUGAGAGGAUGACCCGCCUCACUGGAACUGAGACACGGUCCAUACUCCUACGGGCGGCAGCAGUGGGGAAUAUUGCACGAUGGGCGCAUGCCGGCUGCAGCCAUGCCGCGUGUAUGAAGAAGGCCUUCGGGUUGUAAAGUACUUUCAUCGGGGAGGCGUUACCCGCAGAAGAAGCACCGGCUAACUCCGUGCCAGCAGCCGCGGUAAUUC